rnacentral:rRNA from 1 species
UACGUAGGGUGCAAGCGUUAAUCGGAAUUACUGGGCGUAAAGCGUGCGCAGGCGGCUUUGCAAGACAGAUGUGAAAUCCCCGGGCUCAACCUGGGAACUGCAUUUGUGACUGCAUCGCUGGAGUGCGGCAGAGGGGGAUGGAAUUCCGCGUGUAGCAGUGAAAUGCGUAGAUAUGCGGAGGAACACCGGUGGCGAAGGCGGCUAUCUGGACCGACAUUGACGCUGAGGCGCGAAAGCGUGGGGAGCAAACAGG